GUCUUGAMACUUAAAGAAUUUGGCGGUAUUUUAGUCUAUUUAGAGGAAUCUGUUUUGUAAUCGAUAAUCCGCGUUGGACCUUACUUAAUUUUAUUAAAUAUGUAUACCGCCGUUGAAUUUAAAUCUUAUUAGAGUUAAUAAUUUAUUUAAUAUUUAUUAGAAAAUGUUUCAGGUCAAGGUGCAGUUUAUAUUUAAGUAUAAAUGGAUUACAAUUUUUGUAUGAAUAAUGAAUUAUUAGUUGUAAAUAUUAAUAUGAAGGUGGAUUUAAUAGUAAUUUUAUGUAGAUUGUUAUAUUGAUUUAUGGCUCUAAGAUAUGU
rnacentral:rRNA from 1 species